rnacentral:rRNA from 1 species
GAUGAACGCUGACAGAAUGCUUAACACAUCAGCAAUUGAUUGGUGGCGGACGGGUGAGUAACGCGUAAAGAACUUGCCUCACAGCUAGGGACAACAUGUGGAAACGAAUGCUAAUACCUAAUACUGUGAGGGAGCUUUGCGUCCACUUAGAUAGUUGUAGAGGUAACGGCUCACCAAGGCGAUGAUGGGUAGCCGGCCUGAGCGGGUGAUCGGCCACAAGGGGACUGGGUCACGGCCCUUACGCCUACGGGAGGCAGCAGUGGGGAAUAUUGAACCAUGGGCUAAAGUCUGAUCCAGCAAUUCUGUGUGAACGAGUAAGUUUUCGGAAUGUAAAGUGCUUUCAGUUGGGAAGCUGUACCAACAGAAGAAGUGACGGCUAAAUACGUGCCAGCCGCCGCGGUAAUUC